rnacentral:rRNA from 1 species
UACGAAGGGGGCUAGCGUUGCUCGGAAUCACUGGGCGUAAAGGGUGCGUAGGCGGGUCUUAAGUCAGGGGUGAAAUCCUGGAGCUCAACUCCAGAACUGCCUUUGAUACUGAGGAUCUUGAGUUCGGGAGAGGUGAGUGGAACUGCGAGUGUAGAGGUGAAAUUCGUAGAUAUUCGCAAGAACACCAGUGGCGAAGGCGGCUCACUGGCCCGAUACUGACGCUGAGGCACGAAAGCGUGGGGAGCAAAUAGG